ACCUUAGAGCUAAAGUGUCUGAUAAUGAAUUGUAUACAACCAAACUAAUGAAGGAGAAGUCACAACUACGGGAGAGAGUCACAUCCUUAGAGGAACAAUCCAUCAAAGAGACUAGUUCUAUUGGACUACAAUUUAAUUACCUGAUCCCUUCAAUGGAUUCACUAGACUCUAGUGUCAUUAUAGCUGGACAUAAGCUCUUUGUCCUACAAGGAGACAGGUCUGACUCACUCCAGUGGGA